ensembl:lncRNA
AGAUCCUGUAAACCUCAUAGGGCUGUGGCUGCUGCCAAGGUCCAUGCACCUGCAGACUUUUUCCAUCAUGUCUUCCACGGCAGUGUUUGGCAGGAGCCUUGAGAGACACCUCCCCACCGGGUCCAUCCCACGCUAGGCUUGGUGCCAGGCACUCCAAGUCCUAUCAGGCCCAUGGCAGUCCACUGCUCCUGACAGGCUGGAAAUGACUGGCAUGCUUGUCAGCUUUUCCUCUGCUCUGCAGACACCAGUUUUUCUGAGUAAUGUUUUCUUUCAUCUGGGCUGAACUGGGAGAGCCUGCCAUCUGGCAGGUGGUGACAUACCCUCAAUCAUUUACAUCUUCCUCAUUUCUUGGCUGGGCUGCAGCAGUGUGAUACACGCUGGAAAAACCAAGCAGCAGCAAACACUACAUCAUUUCCUCAGCAUCCAGGCUCCCGACAGCUGGUCGCUGGGGUCUGAAUAAACGCAGCCAGUGCCGUGUGGAUCUGGGGGAGGAAGAUGCUCCAUGUAUCCAUAGCCACAGGGGGCUGUGCCACAGGGCCUCUGUGGGCUCCCCAAGCCACCUACCAGCUGGCCACCUCCCAGAGAAGCUGCCUCUGCCCCCUGACACCCACAGGACCCCUGCCCAGGGACAAUACCCUAUUGAAGGGUUUAGGAUGCUGGGAGUACUCACUAGCCUGCUUUCUCUCUUUCCCCUUCUCCGCCUCACUCUCGCCUCUCUGCCCUCUCCAAACCUCUCCCUUUUCUCUAACAGUGUAUUUCCCAGCCAGAGAGCCUUUUGCUACGGUGGGCCCUCUUAUCCUGCCAUCACGCUUCGCUGAGCCUGCUGUCCUGGGAUUGGGGAGAUGCUGAGCUGUAUUCAUUGUGACACAAAGUAAAAGCGGCAGGUUCCCAGCCUCAUGAGCAACAGCAACACUCCAGCAUUUAAUGGACUUAAACCUCUCCUGCAACCCACCUGUUUCUGGGUUGCAGGCUCUGAGCACACCCAUGUACUUUGCAAUUUUCAACCUGGGUGUAAGGAUGACAGAAAGGAGACAGAGGACAAAAGAGGUGGAAGACUGUGCCCAGGUGACCAACCAUUCUGAGAUGAGAGUCUGGGAGUGAAAUAGGAGAUUCUUGAAGUAUAGACAAUUUUGCUGAUAAUAUCAGUGAAUCUUAUUUGGAACUGCUGCUUCCUAUGCCCAAGUCAGCUAAUGUCUGAUGCAUGCAAGCGCACUCCUCUUCAGAUCAAGUUGUUUCUUAGAAGUGCUUUCAUUUUGAAAUGGGAAAGCAGCUGUCUUUUUUAAAAAAGUUAAAAUAUUAAUUUGUUUUCAAGCAUUUACACUGCUUGCUUAUUUUCCGCACUUCUCAUAGCUUUGGGAGAACUCUGUUUUACUCUUUUUAUCGAUUCUCUACAUGUUGUACUCUUCUGCCAGUGGGCUGGGAAGAGAACACUGUAUGGUACCAUUUGUAUUUUAAAAUAAAUUAAUAUUUGUCUUGGAAAAAUAAACUGUGGAGAA